CCCAACAACCGGAAGACUGGUCAUGAGCCCCCAUUUUUUUAAAAAAAUUUCCUUCAUCUGCCAAUAGCUCUGAGCAGAGAGACAGCCACAUUCGGAGUGGCCAUGUCCUGAAACCCUGACCGGGGCAGCGGGGACUGGAGAAGGAACAGACACAUACACACAGACACAUGUACAGAAAAGCGUGGGUUUGGAUUCAUCUCAGCCAGCCCCUCAGGAAUACAGCUGUGUCAUCACAUCCUGUGGCAUCCUAAUAUUUCAUACUAAGCCGUAAACCAAUUAGGAAUGACUACUCCCUCUGCUGACUCAUGGGAAGAGAAGGGGAUAAUGUGUCCUUCAGAUGCUGAAGAAUCUGAGCUCUGAUGUGCAGGGGGAAGUACAACUGCAAAGCAUGCAUUGCUCAAGACAGCAUGUCUAUCAUCGUUCCUGUCACCGUGAGAAGAUGUCCGAUGGAAGCAACCUCAGGAGGAAGAGCUAUUUUGGCUCACGGUUUUGGAGGAUAUGAAGUCCAUCACAGUUGAGAAGACACGGAGGAUGGUAAGCAGACUAGGAAAUAGGAAGCUAGCCUAGAAAAAAACGGUAUGACCUUGGUAAGGUAGUCUUCAAAAGCCUGGUGUCAAUGGUCUAUGUUCUUCACUGAAUCUCAUGUUCCAAAUGUUUCAUAACCAUUAGGACAGCAUUAUUAUGGGAGAUCAAGUGUUCAGGUGUGCAGCCUGAGGGAGAUAUUGCAAAUUCAGAUAACGCCAGGUGGGUUGCACUUGGGUGCAGAGCAAACGCCUGUUUUCUGCUUUUUUCUUUCACUGGGCACUGAGCUCGUUGGGUGGUACCAUCCUAGGGUGGCUCCCACUCUCUUAGUCUCAUGCUUUGCUCUUCUCAGAAAACAUUCUUGGACCCAUCCAGAAGUGAGCUUAACCCAUUUCUAGGCAACUCUCACCCCACUCAAGCUGACAGUCGGCAUGGAUCACCCUCAAAGGACUGAUCUAUUCUCCUCAGCUAGACGGGAAGAUCAUAGACCAAGUGUUUUGCCCGUGUGUAUGUAAGUGGACUACCCUCACUUCUGUGGAGCCCAGAAGAGACACCUAGAUCCCCUGAAACUGGAACAGCUGUCAGUGAUGUGUCCUGGAACACUGUAAGACGGAGAGAACAUACAGAAGACAGAGCUUCCUAUUUGGAGGUGGAAUGAAGGUAAACAGGAUUAAGUUGUUUUUCAGGUUCUGGAAUCAUCUUGCAAGAUUAUCAGACCCAUUUUAAGAAUUUUAGCUGUACGUGUCAUUUUGAAUACACAGAGGUUCUACCCGAUGUGGCUCCAGUCUUCUCUUUGCUCCCCAGUUCUUCAAAUAGACUUAAGAUGUGGAUUUAACAAAAUGAAAAAUGAGGUCUUGAGAGGUGGCUCUGGGGUUAGAAGCACUUGCUGCUCCUGCAGAGAGACUUGGGUUCUGUUCCCAGCAUACACAGGAGGCUCACUCCUGUCUGUAACUGCGAUCUGCAGGAUUUAAUGCCCUCUUCUGGCCACUGUGGGUACUGCAUACACUUGCACAAACGUGCAAUGAAUAACAUCUCAAAAAAGUUAAAACUGCGAAAAAUGAAUGAACGUACAUCUCGGACAACAAGUCACGUGUAGGAGAGUCAAACUGUCUGCCACAGUAAUUGGAGGAAGACCAUAACAAUAGGGGUCUCUGUGCUGACUUACAUAGAAUUUAACAUAAUUUAAGCCUACUUUGGGUCUGGAAGAUUUCUUGUAAAAUCAUAGAUGUCUGGAUUGUUUAAAAUUCAGUACAUCUAAGUCCCUGAAUUACGUUAGCCUGUUGGGUUUGGCACAGUCAUCCAGAGGCACGGAGUACCUGCCUUCACAGGCCAAGAGCCUGCUGUUCGAUUCGAGACUUUCCAUUUGUUCAGUCAUCAUUGUGUUCUGGGUCUCAAAGUGUAAAAGGAUAAAUUAGACUUCUUUACACAGAGCCUCUUUCUGAGCUGUAUCUUUGGAGGAAGCAGAAUGUGAAUUGAUGUAAUUCACACAUUUGCAAUUCCUAUCAGGUAAGAGGGUUGGAACACCUUGAGCUGGUGCCUCUAAGGCCAAGAGAAGUCACCUCUGAAGAAUGAGACCAUGGGAGAGUCUGCUGUAGUGAGAAGGAAUCUUUUCAAUUCUCAGAUGCAGAUUGAAGACUCAGGAAGUGGGCCAGGGAAGCUUAGACAAAGUGGAUGCAGAUUUCAACCCCCAAGUCAUAGGAGAGGCUGAAGCUAGGUUUCUUGUUUGAAAGAAUGGUUCAAGAGCAGUCUUUUCAGACUGGAAGGAUUCUAGGCAUCUUGAUAAAGACACGAGUGAGAUUCAAGCUCACUGCAGUCCCAGUGCUCAGAACCCACCGAGCAAUGUUUCUGUUGUUUUUGUCCUCCUGGACUCAGUCUGCUGUGAGUUUUACUUUGAAUUUGGAUGACUUCAGAUAUGAAUGUAUGGCUGAUGGCUGGACUCUGUCAAGGUCUAGCUCCGUGGUGCUGAAAGGAAAUUUGAGAUAUAAUUAAAACACACAAUAAAGAGUGGUUUUCUUCUUCUUAUUAAUCAAGAACACAGAAGAGAUGUGUCCUCUACCAACAAGAUGCAGUUACUAGUAGGGUUAGAAUUCACAUCCUGCGGCAGAUGAGGGUCAACUCACAUUCUGGGCUUUGCCAGAAGAAUCUGAAAAGAAACCGCAUCCCCUGCUGGGUGGCACACGGUCAUGUAUCAGUGCGGACAGAGAGAUGAACCCCUUGGCUCACCUAUUUUGGAGUUUAUAAGAGAAAAAAAGCCCUCCCCGUGUUAGGAAAUUAGAAAAGACAAGAGGACUGGGAUCUGUGCCCUAAAUCCAUCCUUUUAGAUUAAUAUUUACUAAUAGAUAUUAAAACAUGGUAGACAAAUGAAAGCCCUGUAGACUAUACAGCUGGAAGGACACACUUUCUUCUGACAGCAAGGCAGUCAACAGAUGUCUGGGGAUUCAAGGAAAUUUGGAUGAAAUUACCUCUCUAUUAAGGUGCCUUUUCUUUUGUAACUCAUAAGUUAGAAGAGAGGGGCAAAGGGAAGCCAUGAUCUCCUGGGUCGCUUUUUCAAACUUUUUUCUUUUUAACUUAGAAAGAGGAGACAAGUCCAAGUCACCGUGAUGGUACAAGACAAACACAGCUCAACCGGGGCAGGCUUAAAGGAUGUGGACACUAAGUGCUAUCCAUCAGCAGUUAGAAACGUUGAGGACAUAGAGACGGAGAAGUGAAAUUGCUGGCUUCAUGUCUGGUGCUCAGUGUCUGGUGAGGAACAUCUUUACCAGUGGAUUCUGUCCCUCGCUGAAACGCCUCCCAGUAUCUCAUUAGGUGUUGUUUUAAGUUGGGGCUGACCACAGGAAAAAUUCAGAGAUUUGGAAGGUGGACAUAGAGGCAUUCGCCCCUUUAAAGGGUUACAGGCUCUUACCAUGUGGGCCAGGCUGACCUCAAACUCAUGCUGAUCAUUCUGCCUUAGCCUCUCAACUUCUGGGAUUAUAGGCACGAGUCACAGUGCCUAGCUACAGCAGCCGGUUCUAUGUCCCUAAGAUUGGGCCAGGGAAAGGCCAGACAUACCUGUCAUUCUCCUGUGUGUUGCUCUGUGGCCGGGGUUGCCAGCCUUUCCUGUCACACUGUGCUUUAAAUGAUGUGAGAGAAAAGUGUAGGGCUGAGGUUUGCAUUUGGAGGCCGCCAUUUAUACCUCCUUCCCAGCUUCCUGCCCAGGUGAGUGCAAAGGCAAUGGCUUUGCCUAUGCCCUCCCUCCCUUCCCCAAGUCUAUAUCUUAACACAACAUCCUAUUUAUAGAGUUCCUGCAUCUUGCUUCUAACAUGGACUGAUAUUCUGACUCUAUAACUGGAUGGCUAUAUGACGAUAGAUGCUGGAUGGACAACUGGGAAUAUUACAACUAUUAUUGUUUGGGGAGCUUCUGUGUUCUUGCAAGUGCUUGCUCUCAUUUUGGUUUUGGGCUCCAGGAAAAGCAAAUAGUAGUGGAGGCUGCUGAAAUUAAAAUGAUGCCGAAGAA